rnacentral:rRNA from 1 species
AACGAACGCUGGCGGCAGGCUUAACACAUGCAAGUCGAACGCCCCGCAAGGGGAGUGGCAGACGGGUGAGUAACGCGUGGGAACAUACCCUUUUCUACGGAAUAGCUCUGGGAAACUGGAAUUAAUACCGUAUACGCCCUACGGGGGAAAGAUAUAUCGGGGAAGGAUUGGCCCGCGUUGGAUUAGCUAGUUGGUGGGGUAAAGGCCUACCAAGGCGACGAUCCAUAGCUGGUCUGAGAGGAUGAUCAGCCACAUUGGGACUGAGACACGGCCCAAACUCCUACGGGAGGCAGCAGUGGGGAAUAUUGGACAAUGGGCGCAAGCCUGAUCCAGCCAUGCCGCGUGAGUGAUGAAGGCCUUAGGGUUGUAAAGCUCUUUCACCGAUGAAGAUAAUGACGGUAGUCGGAGAAGAAGCCCCGGCUAACUUCGUG